rnacentral:pre_miRNA from 1 species
AGGUCGUGAUGUUUGCAAUUUUGGUGUUUAUUGGGCAAAUUGCACUCGUCCCGGCCUGC